rnacentral:rRNA from 1 species
UUUUAAUGAGAGUUUGAUCCUGGCUCAGGACGAACGCUGGCGGCGUGCCUAAUACAUGCAAGUAGAACGCUGAAGGAGGAGCUUGCUUCUCUGGAUGAGUUGCGAACGGGUGAGUAACGCGUAGGUAACCUGCCUGGUAGCGGGGGAUAACUAUUGGAAACGAUAGCUAAUACCGCAUAAGAGUGGAUGUUGCAUGACAUUUACUUAAAAGGUGCACUUGCA